GCCCCGUUAGUGUAGCGGCCCAUCACACUGCCCUCUCAAGGCAGAGAUCACGAGUUCGAAUCUCGUACGGGGUACCA
rnacentral:tRNA from 1 species